AUACGUAGGGGGCGAGCGUUAUCCGGAAUUAUUGGGCGUAAAGAGUGCGUAGGCGGUUUAUUAAGUCAGGUGUCAAAUCCAGAGGCUCAACCUCUGUCCGCACCUGAAACUGAUAGGCUUGAGUUUGGUAGAGGAAGAUGGAAUUCCCAGUGUAGCGGUGAAAUGCGCAGAUAUUGGGAGGAACACCAAUGGCGAAGGCAGUCUUCUGGGCCAUAACUGACGCUGAGGUACGAAAGCUGGGGGAGC
rnacentral:rRNA from 1 species